CUACCAGGUGAUGCUGAUGCUGAAGUUGAUUCUGCUGGUCUUGGGGCCAGUCUUUGAGAACCACAUUCAACACGGGGAAGUAAGAGCUGGGAGUCAUGCCAAGCUGUGGAACAACUGAGGAAAAUAUUCAGUGCUAUAUUCUGAUUGAACUUGUUUUGUUGAACUAAAAAUGGAGAGAAGAAAAUCCAAUUUAAAAAAUCUACUUUAGAUGUGCACCUUCCAGGAGACGGGGUUAGAUUCAAGGAUCCUUGAAUUAAAAUUACUCAAUAUGAAAUAAGAUAAAACUAAGUCACUGACAAAAUCCCAGAAUAACAUCAUUUGUGGUUUCAAAUUAAAUUGCAUUAAACCUGAAAAAAAUCAAUGCCAGGGAUUUGGAAUCUUGUCAUUGGUUAACACUGUGCCUGCACAAUCAUCUUCAUGGAAAUAGAUACUACUGUGUCAUGCUGGGGUUUAAAAGAAUGCUUUGUUACUUCUUGAUGCCUAUAGGAUAAAGAAUCAACUCUUCAGCCUGGAGUAAGGAACAUUUUUACAGUCUUCGCCAGUGUGCCUCUUGAUUGUCAUUUGUAUCUUCUCAACUCAGCAAUAUACCUAUGCUUCACCACAGUGGACUUGUUAAACUUAUUCAAACAUGCCUCAUGUUUUAUGGCCUAUGUGAAAACGUUAAUUCUUUUUUAUGUCAUGCUCUUUUCCAUGCCAUCUCUGUCUGACACACAUGAAUCAGCCUUCAGUAGCCAAAGCCAGCUUCUCUGCUUCUCUAUCAAUGCAGCCUUCCUCAGGUACCUAGAAAGCAUUAGUCAAAUGAGAUGAUACAUGGUAAAUACUUAGCACAAUGCACAGCACCCAAUAAUCAUUAAAUAAAUGGUAAUUUUCUUU